rnacentral:rRNA from 1 species
GUCCAGACUCCUACGGGAGGCAGCAGUGGGGGAUAUUGCACAAUGGGGGGAACCCUGAUGCAGCGACGCCGCGUGGGUGAAGGAGCGUUUCGGCGCGUAAAGCCCUGUCAGCAGGGAAGAAAAUGACGGUACCUGAAGAAGAAGCCCCGGCUAACUACGUGCCAGCAGCCGCGGUAAUACGUAGGGGGCAAGCGUUAUCCGGAUUUACUGGGUGUAAAGGGAGCGUAGACGGCUGUGCAAGCCAGAUGUGAAAGCCCGGGGCUCAACCCCGGGACUGCAUUUGGAACUGUGUGGCCGGAGUGUCGGAGAGGCAGGCGGAAUUCCUAGUGUAGUGGUGAAAUGCGUAGAUAUUAGGAGGAACACCAGUGGCGAAGGCGGCCUGCUGGACGAUGACUGACGUUGAGGCUCGAAAGCGUGGGGAGCAAACAGGAUUAGAUACCCUCGUACU